rnacentral:rRNA from 1 species
UGCGUAGGCGGUUGUAUAAGUCAGAUGUGAAAACCCAUUGCUUAACGAUGGGAAUGCAUUUGAAACUAUGUGACUAGAGUACAGGAGAGGUAAGUGGAAUUUCUAGUGUAGCGGUAAAAUGCGUAGAUAUUAGGAAGAACACCAGUGGCGAAGGCGACUUACUGGACUGAAACUGACGCUGAAGCACGAAAGCGUGGGGAGCAAACAGGAUUAGAUACCCUGGUAGUCCACGCUGUAAACGAUGAAUGCUAGGUGUUGGCUCCUAAAGGAGUCAGUGCCGCAGCUAACGCAAUAAGCAUUCCACCUGGGGAGUACGAUCGCAAGAUUGAA